UACAGAGGUCCCAAGCGUUGUUCGGAUUCACUGGGCGUAAAGGGUGCGUAGGUGGUUAGGUAAGUCCGAUGUGAAAUCUCCAGGCUCAACCUGGAAAUGGCAUUGGAUACUAUCUAGCUUGAGGAGUGGAGGGGGGACUGGAAUUCUCGGUGUAGCAGUGAAAUGCGUAGAUAUCGAGAGGAACACCAGUGGCGAAGGCGGCCUUCUGGACCAGCACUGACACUCAAGCACGAAAGCGUGGGGAGCAAACAGG
rnacentral:rRNA from 1 species